rnacentral:rRNA from 1 species
UGGGGAAUUUUGGACAAUGGGCGAAAGCCUGAUCCAGCAAUGCCGCGUGUGUGAAGAAGGCCUUCGGGUUGUAAAGCACUUUUGUCCGGAAAGAAAUCCUCUGGGUUAAUACCUCGGGGGGAUGACGGUACCGGAAGAAUAAGCACCGGCUAACUACGUGCCAGCAGCCGCGGUAAUACGUAGGGUGCAAGCGUUAAUCGGAAUUACUGGGCGUAAAGCGUGCGCAGGCGGUUUUGUAAGACGGAUGUGAAAUCCCCGGGCUUAACCUGGGAACUGCAUUCGUGACUGCAAGGCUAGAGUAUGGCAGAGGGGGGUAGAAUUCCACGUGUGAGCAGUGAAAUGCGUAGAGAUGUGGAGGAAUACCGAUGGCGAAGGCAGCCCCCUGGGCCAAUACUGACGCUCAUGCACGAAAGCGUGGGGAGCAAACAGGAUUGAGAUACCCUGGUAGUCCCACCGA